rnacentral:rRNA from 1 species
GACGAACGCUGGCGGCGGGCUUAACACAUGCAAGUCGAACGGAAAGGCCCUGCUUUUGUGUGGUUCUCGAGUGGCGAACGGGUGAGUAACACGUGAGUAACCUGCGCUGGACUGUGGGAUAACUUCAGGAAACUGGGGCUACUACCGGAUAGGAGCUGCUGCUGCAUGGUGGGGGUUGGAAAGUUUAGGCGGUUGGGGAUGGACUCGCGGCUUAUCAGCUUGUUGGUGGGGUAGUGGCUUACCAAGGCUUUGACGGGUAGCCGGCCUGAGAGGGUGACCGGCCACAUUGGGACUGAGAUACGGACCAGACUCCUACGGGAGGCAGCAGUGGGGAAUAUUGCACAGUGGGGCGAAGCCUGAGGCAGAAACGCCGCGAGCGGGAUGAAGGCCAUCGGGUUGUAAACCGCUUUAGCCUGUGACGAAGCGGGAGUGACGGUAAUGGGUAAAGAAGCACCGGCUAACUACGUG